UGGUGUGUAGCUCAGUGGCAGAGCACUUGGCUGGAGUCGAUGAGGCCUGUGUUUAAUUCUCAGCACCAA
rnacentral:tRNA from 1 species